rnacentral:rRNA from 1 species
GAUGAACGCUGGCGGCGUGCCUAACACAUGCAAGUCGAACGAAGCACUUUAGCUUGAUUCUUCGGAUGAAGGCUAUUGUGACUGAGUGGCGGAGGGGUGGGUAACGCGUGGGUAACCUGCCUCAUACAGGGGGAUAACAGUUAGAAAUGACUGCUAAUACCGCAUAAGACCACGGAGUCGCAUGGCUCAGUGGGAAAAACUCCGGUGGUAUGAGAUGGACCCGCGCCUGAUUAGGUAGUUGGUGGGGUAACGGCGUACCAAGCCGACGAUCAGUAGCCGACCUGAGAGGGUGACCGGCCGCAUUGGGACUGAGACACGGCCCAAACUCCUACGGGAGGCAGCAGUGGGGAAUAUUGCACAAUGGGGGAAACCCUGAUGCAGCGACGCCGCGUGAGCGAAGAAGUAUUUCGGUAUGUAAAGCUCUAUCAGCAGGGAAGAAAAUGACGGUACCUGGCUAAGAAGCACCGGCUAAAUACGUGCCAGCAGCCGCUGUAA